UGGCAGUGAUGAAAAAAAGGCCGGUCGUACAGCUGCUUUGGUUCAAUCCAAUUGGUAGUAGAAUGAUGUGAAUUAUCAUGAGGUGUGUUCUGAGCCAG
rnacentral:snoRNA from 1 species